UUGUUUAGAUGGGUGAUGAACAUGGUGAUGACUAUGAAAAAGAAGAGAAGAUGAAGAUGGUGAUGUGAGUUUGGAGAAAGAAGAGAGAUUGAAGAAAUGAGAAUAAGGAGAAGAAGUGAACUUUGAAACUAGCAUGGCGGAAGAGAGAAGAAAGGGAGAGAGGUUUAUCUUUGUGUUUGAGAGUAUGUUUCUUGGCCUCUCGUUUAUAUAUGUUAUGUUAUCCACUUGGCUGGAUUGAGUUUGAGCAUUUGAUUCGCUUCAUAGUUCAUGUGUUUUUUUUUUCUUUUCAAUUUUGUUAUUUUUAAAAAGAAAAGUACUUAUGUGUAUAAAGGCAUUUUUAAAUUUUAUCUCAAAAUCCAUAAAAACAACAGAGAAAUGAGAGUAAAAACACUAUUGACUUAGAUAGUCUAUCCAUGGAUUCUUCACAAAUUCAUAUCCUUUUCUCUUAAACUUUUACGAUGAAACCAGUAAUUUCUAAAGAAAAGGUUUCUAGUAAAUCCAGCAAAUCAUUCGCUGAAGCAUUAGACAAUGUUUUCGGCAUCCCAAUUAGCCAACUCCCAACUCCUUAUGUGAAGGGGGAUAGGCUUUCCAUCUCGAUCCCAAAUGUUGCAUACCUCAUUGGGCUUGAUUCCUGCGAGCAUAACCUACAUGGAAGGAUCAUGUAGUCUAAAGGUUCCUAUAAGACCCCAAUUUUGACCCUAAGAUCCCUCAUGCAAUUUCAUCAUAUGCAUUAGCAUUGGGAUCCACCUUGGCAUCCUCCUUACCCCUCUCUCAUUGGGUUUGUUUUGGGAGAGAUCACCAAGCACCAUGUGAUUGUAUCAUACUUGCAUUUUUGCAUUUUACUAACCAAAAUACCAAAAAUAUAUCUUUUUAUUUGCCUAACUCUUUUGUAGGUAGAGCAUGAUCACCAUUGAUCUAUCAAGUUCACAUUUAGGGUUUAAGACCCUCAUGGCUAAGAGCACAAUCAAAGAUUGAUCCAUAAUGUCUCAAAUAAUUAUAUAUGAGUCUCAUUGAUCUCUACAUGUUAUAUUGAUCAAGUAUUCUUCAAGAGUUUGGAGGUGAUUUGCCUUGGAAACCCUAGUUUGACUGGGUGUCUUGAGUAACUUCUCCAACAAGCUAUCUCACCAGUUGAUCAAAUUUCUCAAAAGACACUUCAAAAUUCAUCAUCUUAUGCAUAUAUGAUCUACCAUGAUCCUAAAAAGUCAAGAGACUUGAAGGUUAGCAAGUUGGUUGAUGGUGGUUAGCCAAAUGAAUUCAUCUGAUCAACAUUGGGUCUCCCUAGACCCUAUCUCCUACAAUUUUCACCAUAUGAAAAUGAUUCCAAAAUAAAAGUUACUCUAAACGACAUUCCUAACAAAUUUCAUGUUGAGACCUAGAGCUAGUUUUGCUUGGAAAAUCAUUUUCUAUGUUGAAACAUUAUAGGUCAUUUUGUCUAAACCAUAAUUUGAAAGUCAACUUCCCAAGACCAUAACUUGCUCAAUUUUUAUGAGAUGAAAGAUUUCCAAGUUUCACAAUCAAAUUCAAGAUGUCUACUUAAACUUUGAUGUUUAGAGUGAGAGCUAAUUCAACUUUUAUGAGCAUGUGAUAUGAGGAUGCAUUAUAGGUCAUUUUUGACCUAUACCAUUGAAUAAGUGAUUUUUUCAAACUUCAAAAACGCAUAACUCUAUCAUUCUAAAUCCAAAUUACAUGAAAUUGGUGACCAUUUUUAAGGUAUUUGAAAUAGCUACAACUUUGAUGAAGACACCUUUCUCAUUUGAAGCUCACAUAAAAAGUUAAGCAAGGUGGAAUAUUGAGAUAUAUGACUUGACACUUAGAAAAAAUUUCAACAUGUUAAAAUUUCCAAACUUCCACCUCAAAAUUAACCAUGAUCCAAGCUCCAAAUGGAAAAGUUUUCAACAUCAAACUUGUUCCCCUUGAUCUAAGCUUUCCAAAGAACCCAAGUUCAUGCAUUUUGGAUGAGAUUUUCUAGGUAUGCGCAUGGCUUUAACAGAGCUGCAUGUUUGGAAGAAAUCAAAUGCCAAAAAUCAUAUUUCACAUUGCCUUGACAUCCAAGCAUGGUUUGAACUUAAGAACAUUGCAAGUGGAUCAAAUUGUAUUACUUCAUGGGCCUGUACACGCCCACGCAAGCUUGUGCAUGAAAUGUCCAAAUUUAGCAAUUUUUCAAGUGUGUAAAUAUCAUUCCCAAUUGCUAUAAAUACAGGCCCUUGGAGCUCAAUUGAAACACACCUUGCGCGCCAGCUUUGCCCCCCAAUUGAAACCCUCACAUUUCAAAGGAAACCCUGAUAAUUUUCAACUUGAAAAUUGAGUUUGAAUCUCACUGUUUGGAGAUUCAAGAACUCUAGGAUCCAAAGCUUUGUACCAUUGACAAACCUCUCCUACAAGCUUCUGAAGUGUGAUCAGAUCAAGUUUGAAGCAAACAACAUCAAGUUCUACACAUCAUUGAAGGUAAAUUUCAGAAAACUUCAUCUCUUCGAUUCUCACUCAAUUCUCAUCAAUUCUCUUGGAUCUUUGGUUGUAUGAAGUCCUACCAAUGUAGGCAAGAAGAUUGAGUUGCUUUGAGGUCAAAUCGAAGCAACUCAGUUGACACACCUCAUCAUCAAUUCUCUUGGAUCUUUGGUUGUAUGAAGUCCUACCAAUGUAGGCAAGAAGAUUGAGUUGCUUUGAGGUCAAAUCGAAGCAACUCAGUUGACACACCUCAAAAUUCAACUCCUCAUAUCUUUUUAUAUAUUUGGAGUUAGUUGAAAUUGAGACCAGAUUCGUGCUCUACGCCAUUUUUUCUUUCAGGUCAUGUCCUUUUUUUCAUUUUCUUGAUGGUGAUGAGUGAACCAGUCCGGUGGACCUCGCCUGAAAAGGUGACCGGAGGUCCAGCGCCGGUGGUGUGCUGGACAGGUUCUGAGCCAUUGAUCUCUUUUAAAAUGUUUUAAUCUCAUGUGUUACUUCUGAUUGUCAAGCCUAUGUCGCAUUGACUGCAGUGCAUCAUGGAACGCGCGAUCUGGUCCACUUGAUCCGCCACCUCAAUUAAUGAGGGAAAUCAAGUGGCUCACAUUUUUUUUAUUUUUUUUAUUUUUGUUUUAAUUCAUUUGAUUUUCGUUAAUUCAUAUUAAUUUUAAUAUUGAUCCAAAAAAUAUGAGAGUUUCACCAAAAAAUUUUAAAUAAAUUCCUCUUUCAUAUUCUGAAUUAAAAUUAUUUUUUGGAUCAUUAUUAAUAUUUUUUAUGAUUUAAUUGAUUUUGUGUUUAUUUUUAAUUGUUUAAAAAUACUUUUAAAUCUUUAAAAAUUCAAAAAAAAAAUUCUCCAAGGUCCUUUGACCUUUUUUAACCUAUGAUAAAUCUCAUGGUCAUUUAUUUGGUGUUUUGAUGAGGUUUUAGGAAUUUGACAAAUCAUAUUUAAUUUAAAUGCAUUAUUUUAGUAUCUUUAAAUUGAAUAAAUGCUAAAUAAUUAUGUUGAGCUCUUGUGAUGGUUUGUGUAAGUUUGACUUGUGUUGUUGGGCCUUGGUCAAGGUUGAUUUGACUUUGCUAGGUUAAUAUCAUUGGAUUUAGGGGAUUGAUGAAAUGUAUAUUCCUUCUCCUAAAAUGAAUGAAUUAUAUUAAUUUGGUAAAAAUCCUCAUUUGAUCAAUUUGAGUUUUGAUCCAUUCCCCUCCCUCUUCAUCUAAUUCCCCUUCUUUAUGCAUUCAUUCCAUUUGGCCUAUGAUAUCUCAAAGUCCUAAAGCUAGUUGGUUGAAAAAUCCACAUGAGUAUGGAUGAGAUUAUGCCACCUAUUUUGCAUAUUCUUUUUGUGUGUGGUAUGUUUCAUGAGCAUAGUCCAUUAUACUAUGUCUCUAACAUGCAUUAACACCAAAAUUCUAUUGCCCGCCCUCAAAUAGUUGUGGUUUCUACAUAAGUCCAAUUACGAUUGCUUAACAUAGCGCUAAAUUUUUGACACAAAAGGCAUAGCAUUCUAGUUAGUGAGAUUGUAAGUUUCCCAUCUUUCAUGGUAUUGUGUGGAAACUUGGCCUUUUUCCUUCCUUUGGAAGAUGUCUUGGUUCAAGGACCAUACUUGUGAUAAGUGGGUUGAGUGUUCUCCAAAGAAUGACUUAAAACAAAAACAAAAGCAAAACAAUACUAACUUCUAACUCAUUAACAACUAACAUUUAAUUUCAAGUCCUUUAUUUUAAUGCACUUUAAUUUUUAAGUUCUAUUAAUUUUCCAUUAUUCAUACCAUUCUAAUUGUUUAUGUUAAUGUCAUUUUCACUUUGUCUACUUGGACCAUAUUGUGUGAUAUAUCUUGUUUGUGUAUACUUUAUUUGUUCGAAUGGUCUUUGACCAUUAAUGUGCAUAAUAACAACAAAAAAACCUAAAAGACUAUUGUGUGGAUUGUUGACUUGAUCUUGGACAAUUGGACUUAGAAUUUAGGCAACAUUCCUAUGCAAUAAGAACUUGGCCAAUGUCAACUAUCAUGUAACCAAGUGCUUGCAAUUUGAAACUUCAUCUGAUACAUCUUUGAAGAUCCCUUUGAGUUCAUCUACAACAUGAUCAUUGUGAAGCUGUUAUUUUGAACAUGUGACUUGUGGAAUUCAUCUGCUACAUGGGCCAAUUUGAAGAAGAUUAUGGAGUGGCUAAGGCUUGGAUGGGGCUAUCUUUAUUUGAUGCCUUGCUCUUCAAGUUAAUAUUGUAUGCAUUGUUUGUUGCUUGAUUCUAGUAUCCACGGGAAUUUGGGAUUUCUAUAUGGAAUUCUUGCCUAUUGGAUUGCUACCCAUCGGUCAGAUCUUUUCAACUCUUAACUUUUAAUUUUGUGCAUUGGAUUAGUCUCUUCAUCUCCUCCCCAUUUCUUUAAUUUCAAAAUCUCUCCCUCCUUUCAGAAAAACUUCUUUGUUUGAACUUGUUAUUUUCUAAAUUUUGACCACUUUGCAAAUUAGAAACUUUGGCCUUAUGCCAUUGCCUUUUUCAAACUUCUUUUCUUAAUCAAACUUGUAAAUAUACUUAACUAUACUUUACCUAAACUUUCAAAAAAGCCAAAAAGAACUAACUCAUUCAAAUCAUUUUCUAGGCCUUUGUGCCUUUCAAACUUAAUUUUUGUUAAAAGCAAUGCACCCACUUUGAAAUUUGUAACACGAACUACCAGGUUUUGAUCCCUCAUUCAUAUGUUGGUUCGUAGGCACAAGUCCGAAGGUCUUGUCAAACAAAAAAAUAUAAUUAAUGAAUUCUUUUCUCAUCCCCCCAUUCUAUUUGUUUGUAAACAUCACUUUGUACAAAAUACAUAAGCACACAAAAGAGGGCUCCCUAGGAGUACCUAGGACACGUUGGGUGCUAACACCUUUCCUCUGUGUAACCAACCCCCUUACCUGUAAUCUCUAACAUUUUAUUAGUUUUGAUUUGAAAACUUCUUACUUUUGGGUUUUGUUCGUACUUUUUCCCUUUUCCCUUGGAAUUUUAUUAGUUUUGAUUUGAAAACUUCUUACUUUUGGGUUUUGUUCGUACUUUUUCCCUUUUCCCUUGGAAACAAUAAAAGCGCGGUGGCGACUCUUGUUAUUUGAUGUCUUGCUUAUCCAUAGCUUAAUGAUCAUGAAUUUACCGCUACAGUUCCUCACCAUUAACCGUGGUUCAAUUGAGAACGAAUUUGGAGAAGCUUUGGAGUUUGCUAUCUAAAUGGGACAUCAUUUCGCUCGAUAAGGGGUUUUUUAGUUCUCUUUCUCAAAUCUUGAGGAUGUUAGGCGUGUUCGUUCCAUGCCCUCUUGGAACCUGAGCCCAGGUUUUUUGAAGUUGUUCCAUUGGAUGAGGGAUUUUGUUCCUAACAAUGUUAACACACUUCGACUCAGAUCUCUAUUUAAAUUCAUGGUCUCUCUCAAGAGUAUUAGCGUCCUAAAAUAAUUUUUGUCAUUGCUAACAUCCUAGGAACCCCCAUUUGCAUUGACUCGACAUCUAAUAGACCACCUCUAGAGAGGUCUUUAGGACAUUGUGUUUGUGUGUUAGUGGACAUGGAAUUAUUGAAAGAAAGGAGAGAGAGAAAUUUGGUGGAAAGAGUUGGGUUCACUUUCUUCGUUGGUAUAGACUAUUAGAAAGUUCCAGAAUUGUACCAUUUCAACACAGCUUUAUGUCACUCUGAUGUAAGCUGCAAAAGGAACCCCCAACUUCAGGAAAGGGAUAUGGGUAGAAGAAUUGAUCCUAUGAAAACAAAGGUAGUCUAUAGAGAAAAGGAACAAAUGCAUUCUACUGUUGUUGUGAAUCAUGAUAAAGGUGACCAGAAACAAGUGCAUCCUACAUUGACUAGUGAUGACCACUUCUCUUGGACUCAAAGUUGUGGAACCCUAAUCUUUUAUCUUUGACACUUGUGGAUCAUGUGGAUUGCAUCAUGACAUUGGAAUUGAUUAUGGAUUGCAAGUUUCAAUUGGUCAACCAUGAAAGAUUGACUUUGACUGAUUAAUAUCUUUAUGGGCUUUUUCAAUACACUAGUCCAUUAAUUGUUUGGUUUGGAUUCAAGGCAGGGCAUUACAGUUCAUAAUUUGUACAAGAUCAAGUUUCAUUCAAAGAUCAAAGUUCAAUUCAAAUUCAAAUAUUCAAAUGCCAAUUUGGAGGGAAAAGUGUUUUCUUGAAGAACAAGUUACAUUGCCAUUCAAGGAUCAAUUUGCAUUACAAACCAUCAAAUAUACAUUACGCAAGAGUCAAAAACAGAAUCUACACAAGAUUUUACACAUUUUGACCUAGAGUUGAUUUUUAGUCAACUGUUGACUUUUUGGUCAAACAGUUGACCAAAGUCAACUAACUAUUCUAAAACCUAAUCCCACUUUUUCUUCAUCUUCAAGGCAUUCUUUUUUUUGUGCUUCCCAUAUCUUCAAAGAGCAUUCCAAAUAUCUUCAUGGUGCCAUGCUAUGCCAAUUUUGUUGCCAUGAUUAAAUCUUCAUGAACCUUGUAUGUCAUGCCAUCCCAUGCCCAAAUCAUCUCAUAUGCAUAAUGACCCUGCAACAAACAAAUCAAAAUUCAACAUGACUACACCAAUUCAAGCCAAACUUUUUCCACAACAUUCCAAUUGAUAACUCGAGCAUUGUGUCACAUUCAUUAACUACACAAAACUAACACAUCAAUUCCAUACUAACUACACUUCAAUGAAAUAAUUGCACCUAAUAACUAAUCCUAAUUCUAACUAUCUUUAUUUAACUAACUACUAUUUGAAAUUGACAUUUUUCAAUUAACCAUAACAGUAUACUAAAUUCCCUCACUAAUUUCCUAAAACUCAUAUCACUCACUGUUAUGGUUCAACUAACAUUAGUAGCUCAAUCUAGCUUACUAUCUAAUUUGUUUUCAAUUCAAAAUCAAUAACUACAACACAACCAAAACAUUAUCUAUACUAAUACCAUUCAGUAAUUAACAUCAUCAAUUCACAUGAAGUCUAACAAUCAGCUACAUGCCCUGAUUCAACACAACUAUCGAUUAACAAUACUGACAUAACCAGUUCAUUACCAGGGUAUGAGAACAAGGGAAAGUUGACAAAUGCAUCAAGUGCAGAAGUUUGGAAAGAUUGGUCCUCUUCAAAUCUGAUAAAGUGGCAAGUGACAUAGGGCAGCCUGUAGAAGGAAUUGAAGCAGAACUGUUGCAGAACAUAGGAAGCCAGAUUAAGAUCAUUGAAAUUCAAAACCGAUUAACUGAUUUCUGCCACUAACAUUCAACUAACUAUAUGACAUUUCAUCAACAUCAAUAAAUAAUCUAAGUGUUUCUCUAACAACUUAGCAUUAACAAUCACUAAUAGACUAACUUCAAACCUAAUUUCACUAAUUCAAAUUCAAUGCUAACAUAAAAGUACUUCAAUAACUGACAGGUUAGUGACUUUUUUCCUAACUAAUUCUUCUUCACAUCAAAGUUAACUAGCUCAGUUCAUUAACAAACAUCAAUACCAUCCUCACUAUGCUAAUAGAAUCAUUAGUUAACUAAUCUACAAUUCAAACAAACUAACUAACCAACUCAUUCUAUUAAAAAAACUCACUGCAGGAUUUAAGCAACAAUGAAUUCAUAACAGUUUCUCAACUAACUACAACUAAUUGAAUUCCAUAUUCAUAACUAACUUCACUUCUCAACUCCAUAAACAAUCACAAAUUGUUAGUAGUUCAUUCUAAUUCACCCUAAUCUAUAACGACUAACGUCCAAUUCAAUCUAACUAUCAUUAAUAGUUCACUAACAUUGUUAAGUCCCCUAACCAAUUUACCAUUUGAAUGAACUACCUUUAACAGUGCCUUAACCAUAACAAACUCUGCCCUAAAUCUUUGCCCAAAACAGUUAUGAUCACUCAUUUAUAUAACUACCAUUCCCUCCUUGUUCUCAUGCAACCAUUCUCAUUCUGAAAACUUUGAUCAUUAUGCAACUCGAUCUCUCUCCUUCUCAACUCACCAAGAGCUCCAAAAUACUCCAUUUUUGAUCAAGCUUAUCCUUAAAGCUUGCUGCAAAUUGAGCAUUAGUCACUCCUUUAUCCUACUCCCAUCACUCAUGCACUCAUCAUCAACGACAUGAAGACUUCACCUACAGACUAAAGUGGUAGAAGAAGAAGAAGGAAGAAUAAUAGCAAGGAGGGAAAAGUUCGAACUGCUUACCUAUAUGGUGUUCUAUCUUCAUUAGCAUCCUCAUCUUCAAAGCUCCCCAAGGUGAACCUCGACCUUACAGGUUGGUAGCUCCCUCCAUUUCUUCUUCUUUCAUAUCGAACUGGUUACCAAUAUGUAGAGGACAUUAAAGGGAAUCAAAGCCUCAAGGUUGUGUGGUUUGAUUCCCCUCCGUUUCGAUUUAAUUUCACUUUCUUAGGGUCUAGGGUUCUUCAAGGUUUUGGUUUGGUUUAGAGAUUUCGUUGCGUUUCAGAGGAAAUUGAUGCUAGAAUAGAAGAGAUGAGGUGGAAAGGGUUGAGAUGGUGGCUGUUUGAGGUUUAUCUGGAAUGCUCUUCCGCCCCUGGCGCGGCGGAGAGAUUUCCGGUGGUGGAGACGUUUCAAGAGGGAGAGAGAGUUCAGGUGAUGAAUUGUGAAAAUGAAUGAGGGUGAGUCUGAAUCCCUCGCCCUUUCCUCAUUCACAUUGGGAUUCAAGCGCCCUAAAGCCCAAAGGUCGUAUUUCCCACACAUUCCUGAUUACUCAUUCAUACCCUGUUUGUUCUGAACUCAACCAAAGCCACUAUGGGCCUUCUGAUGUUAGGCCCUGCACCAUUUUGCUUGACCAUAUGCCCCUGCAGGUCCAUGCACCCCUUUGUUUUGUUUUGUUUUUUGGUUUUUUAGUUUAUCUCUAUUUCUCUUUUAAUUUGUUUUAAUACACAUUAGUUUUCUUAUUUUUAGUCAAUACACAUUUUGAUGCUUUUUUUUACACAUUUUUAUUUUGCUUAAGAAGGAAAAAUACUUUGAAAAUUAAAUAAAAAUAAUAAUGCACUUAUGUUUUAAUUAGAAUUUAAGUAGGAUUAGUUUUAGGAUAAUUUUCAAUUGUUUUUUUUAGAAAUUGAUAAACAUGAUAAUAUUAUAUUUAUAUUUUAAUUAGCUAGUUAUUUCUUUAGAAAUUAAUAUGCAUGAUAACAUUUUAGUUUCUUUAGGAUUCUAGUCCUUGAUCACAAAUCAAUGUGCUUGUAAUCCAUAUCUUGAUCAUAUCCCUUAGUGAUUGAUUGAUCAAAGUCAAUUUUGAUCAAUUAAUCACUCCACAUUUGUCUAUUUCCCAUAUCCAGCCAAGUGAUCAUGAGCUUCUUGAUCACUUGAUAGGAUUAGUCUUCUGCAUUGGCAUUACAUUGGAUCUCUCAAGAUAAACUCAGACUCAAGACUUCAUACUCAAGUCAAACUCAAGCUCAAGACAUCAUGCAAGACCUUGGAGACUCUGGACAUCAAGACUGGAUCAUUGCUUCAUCAUUCAAGCACAAUAAAAAGAUUAUUCUUCAACAUUUGUCAGUCAUGAUGCAAGUUGUGCGGCACGAGCCUUAAGCAACGAAGAAGAAUAAGAGGGAUUAUUCUUAUCCUUGUUCUGAGUAUCUUUGGGUACGGGGCUUAAGCCCCAAUUAUUCAAAGUAUUCGCCUUCGUUCAUAAACUUUAGUUUAAUUCAAAUCAAAUGACUUUCAAGUUUUCUUCCCCACAAAUCACACUGCAACAAUUUUUAUCAACAAUACUUGUCUCUUUGGACCAAAGAUGAUCUUUUUUGGAAUCCAUACCUUCUUUGGGUAAUCAUCUCAUGGUUAAACACUCAUAUCUGAACCAAAUUCUUUCAUAGAUUACCCUGUAGAGCUUCGCGCUCUAGCAACCUUCAUGCAUUGCCAUGUAGAGCUUCGUGCUCUAACAACCUUCAUGCAUUCCCCUACGAGCUUCGGGCUUGAGCAUGACCUUUAAUUUUCCCUGUGUAGCUCCAUGCUCUACAACUCAUGCAUACUCUAUGAGAUCUGUUCUCAGGUAGAUCAUUCAUUCCCUAUAGGUUUUAUGCUUAGGCAACCCCAUUUCUGUCCUGUAAGCUUUAUGCUUAAGUAAAACCUUUUUGUAAGUCUUGAUCCCUGGAUCUAGGAAAAACCCUACAAUCCUGCAUUGAUCACAACAUUUACUGGUUAACGCCACACUCUUUGGUUCGUAUACACCUACCUUAUGGAUUCAAAUAUAAUAAUCUUGGUUCAAACAAUACUUUCACCACACCUCAAACAACACUUUUCCCAAUUAAUUCAAACUUCUUUUCAAGAAAGGUCUCUUUCUUUUUCUAUUCAAUCAAAUCUUUCUUUUUCUUUUAUCACACAAGCCUUUUUCAAAAUAAUUUUCCUUUCUUUUCAUAAAAUAACUUUUAUAAUUCAUUCCUUAGCAGUCAGACUAAAAUCUUAGAGCAUCCGAACAAGGAUCAAAUCAUAUAACAUCUACACACUUCUAGGAUACGAUUAUAAGUGUUCCCUACAAACAUCCAACACAUCCGUAUUUAUUAACAUGAACUUUGGAGCUCUGAUUUUCUCAUUGCACUAUGAGAAUACGUAGGCACGAGGACUUGAAUCCUUGGCGAGCACAUUAAUUAAUAAACUUAUUUUUUCCCUCUAAUAAUUUGCAAUUAACCUUUAGAUAAUAACACUCAUUCGCGCAAAGAACAAUCAAAAUGGUUCUCGUUAAGUACAACUGAUGUGAGGGGUGUUAAUACUUUCCCCUCGAAUUAUCGACUUCCUUACCCUGUUCCUCUUCCACUGGGUUUUAUCAAUAUUUUCCCUUUCCUUCUGGAAUAAAUAAAGUUUGGUGGCGACUAUGUUGCAUGCAAUAUGCUUAGGUAUUUUCAUGGCGCGACAUGUUUCUAACACGGUAGGGUUCAAAUGUUAUAAUUUUAUUACCCUUUUCUUCCCUAAAAUGAGAUUAAUUAUUAGGAUUGAUCUGCACUUUGAAAAAAUAUGAAUAUAAGUUUUUCGUAAUUUAUAAAAUUUACAAGCUUGGAAAUGGGUGAUCCUCUGAAAUUUCUAAGACGGGUGAAAGAUAUUCCCUUUGCAGCAAUAAGAGUGUUUGCUACCGAUUUUUAUAACAUAUAUUGAGCGGGUAAAAUGGAUUUUCAAACACUUGCUUUAAUUAAAGAAUAUGGUUUUGAUCUUGGGUAGAGAUAUAAAAAAAUACCUAUAUGAUAAAGCAUCAAUGAUAAGGCCCCAUACUUAGCCCCAUUUUAUUAGACCCCCUAAUACAUGUACAUUUUUGGGAAUUUCUUAUCGCACCUUAUGGGGUGGAAAAACACCAUAUGGAAAAUCGAAAAUGCCCCUCAAAUUUCGGAGAUGUAUCUCCGAAGGCACUUUGUCUUAAAUCAAAAUGUUAUCUGGUCCGAAGAUGCAUCUCUGAAAUAUUUUAAAUCAUACAUAAUAAAUCCCACUCGGAAAGGCAUUUUACAUGUUUAUUGUUCCGGAUAUGCAUCUUUGUUUAGGAUUUAUGGAGAUGCAUCUUCGUACCCUAUCAUAAUAGUGAAGGUUAUGUUUGUUUUAUGGUUACGUAGAUGAAAGUGGUGAUUUAUAAAUGUUAAGAACCCUGUUAUGUGAUGAGAUUUAAACCAUACAAUCGAUAUGAAAAAAAUGACAUAUAUAAAUCCAGAUGAUCCAAAAAUGAUAUAUGUAAAUAAAGUCAAAACACAUUACAAAGUAGAAUGAAGUGAAAAUAAAAUACAAUCCAUAAUGCAUUUAAAGUAUAACUACAAUAUACUAUUGCGUAUACGGGACUGCAGCUCCUCAGGCUCCUUGGCCUCCUCUAUCCCCCAUCCUCUAACACUCUCUCUGGUACAUUAGUGCCUCUUGUGCCUUUGUCAUAAUGGGAUCUAGGACCUGCCUCACCUUAUGCCCAUCAGGGAAGAUACAUUUGUCAAUGCCUGACUACACAAUCUCCAUGAUGCAACAAAAUCUAGGCAAGACAUCAUAAGCAUGAUCUAAUUGUAUUUACUCCUCCUCUAGUAUCUCGUGAUGAGUUGGUACCCAGUGGGUAUCCUAGAUUAGUAUGCACUAUAUAUGAAUGUCACACCCUGAAGAACCACCUAAUUUACCUAUUGACAUAGCUCCAUCCGCUCUUAGCUAUAGUAAUUAGUGUCACCUUCAGUACCAAAUGACUAAGAUAAUCAUCAAACAUGGCAUCCAUCUCUCUACGUGUCAUAGCAGGAGGAGCGGAGAACACAUGAUGUUUGUGAAUAGUCUGAGUGUAGUUGAACUGCUACAUGACGCGCUCAGGAAGAUGAUGAAAUGUGAGACGUUAGCCGCAAGCCAAUUAUCCCGAGUAUAUCACUAUAUCGUCAAAUGGUCGUGCCUAACAGUGGUGAACAUAGAUGUUGAAGUGCAUAUCCUUGGCAACCAAGUGAUUAAGUUACACUUUGAACGACUCUAUCACCUGGUUCCCUAUGAGCGAGGAAAAUGUAGAAGCAUGUGGCAUAUCCUCAGUAUAAGUCGAUACACAUGACCAGCCAGAGAUGCACAGGAAGUGUUGGAGGAUCCAAGCCUGAAAAGUGUUGGAACACUCGAAUCAUCGGUAAGGUAAUUGCAAAAAUGUAAUAAAAAUGACACAGAAGUAUUAAUCGAUAGUAUGAUGUUGCAUGUGACUUGCUUUGUCUUCCAUAUACAACCCUCUGAUAACUUCAAGUACAAGUAGACCAACACAAGCGCCCCUCAAGUGUACUCAUGGAUCUGCUCGAAGUACCGUAGGUAGAUAGAAUCUGUAUAAGUGGCACUCUUGUCCAUAAAAAUCGCAGUGCCGACCAAAUAUAGUAGGUAUUCUCUUAUAGCAUAUGCUUUAUGGAGCUCCACAUGCUCUUCAAUGCCUCUAACCUCCUCAACUCUAAGGAUCUCAUAUGUAUAUACCUUUUUCAGGAAUUCAAACCUAGCAUUAACCCUUCUGGUUUUUUCGUACUCCCUCAUGGCAUCCUCUAGGUCAACUCCCAGAUAGUUUACCAUCAUCUCGAGUGCCUCGUCUCUUCUAAUCCUCUCAUGAUCUAGAAGUUUCCCCAUGAUCGAAAGAUGCAACAAACGUGACACAUCGUCGAGUGUGAUAGACAUCUCACCAAACAGGAGAUAAAUGGCAAGGUCUCGGUGUGUCAUCUCUCCAUGAAUGCAUUGAGCAUCCCGUGGUUAAUCGUAACAUAAUUGGACAUGCAAAAGUCCUUCAUCCCAGAUAGGAACAAAGCAGCUUGAAACCACUCAUCAUUCGACUGAGGCAAGCCAGUAAUCUUUCACCCAUGGUUAAUAAACUUAAGUGGAUCACAGUAAUCUAAAAAAAUAAAUCAAUGUCACAAACUUGUAAUAUAAUAAUAAACGUAAUUUAAAAAGAAUGAAUCCAUCUAAAUUUACGUUUCCGUCCCAAAUAUAUCUGGCAAUAUAGUUUGGGUACAAAGGAAGCAGUGACAACUCUACAUGGCAUCCUCCAAAUUCUCGAGGUGACACUGGUUCAUCAUCCACAUUAGCUAGAGGUAGCACUGGCUCAGCAGCGUCAUCAGUCAGAGGUAACAUUGGCUCAAAAGCCUCAUCGGAAUGAGUUACCUUCGAUACCUAAGGUGGCACUGGUGCCUCGCCUACCACCGGUGACUCGCAUACCUUUGGUGCCUGAAUAAGUGAAACCCGUCACCUGCAGGAGGAUGGAGGCAGUGAUGCAUUAGUAAGUGAAACUUGUUUCCUACAGGAACAAGAAGAUGAAGAAGCAUGUGUAGGUUAGAAAAAAACAAGAAAGGGGUUUGAAUUGUGUUUACUAUUUCUUCUUUUAAGCUUUAAGGGUUUCGGCUUCUGAUGACUUUCAAAUAGAUUCUGAACACUUAAUUUAGAGUCUUACUUAGAAAUACUUGGUUAAAUUAUUAUUGAAAUUAAUCAAAGUCUAAACCUCUCGCUCAGAGUCUGAAUCACAGUCACUCAAAAUCUGAACUCUUGUAUAUCUUUAUCAGAUACUGAAAUAGAAUUUGACUCAUAUGUAAACAAAUGAUAACAUUGAAAUAGUUCAAAAGCACGUAAAGUAAAAGUGAAGGUGAGAAAAAACAAGAAAGGGGGGGUUUGAAUUGUUUGGAAAAAUAAGCGCUUUUUCAAAAUGAAAAUCACACAAAGAUUUUAUACUGGUUCGCUUAUAACACAAAGCUACUCCAGUCCACCCGGCCGAGGUGAUUUCGCCUUCAACAAGGACUUAAUCCACUAAUCUUGAAAGAUUGAUUACAGACACUCUAAAGAAGAUAGUCCUCUCAAGUAUCAGACUACACAGAGUACUUGAGGAAAUAACAAACAUAUAUAUGUAAUCUAGAGUGCUUCUAAGAACAAUUACAAUAGUAGACAAGGUGACCACGUUAAGCAAAGCUUCGUGAAGAUUUAGAGAGUGAGAGAGUUUUCUGACGCGUGAUGUUUCAGUAUAAUUUUUGUGAUGUGUAUGUGCUGAAUGUUGAUUUGCAGUCCUUUAUAUAUAGAUCAGUGAGGUAGUAGUUGAAACUGAUGAGUAAUAAAAUGAAUUACGCCAUAACAUAAAUAGCUUCUGUCAGGAUAACUUUCUCUCCUUGAAAUGACUACUUACCACAUAUAGUACCUUCUUAUUGAAAUUGGAGAUUAACGUCUCUUUCUUGAUUAGGAAAUCCUUUGCAAACCUUUACUUGACUUUAACGUUACUCUUUCAUAAUCAGCAUUCCUAAUCAGAGUCUUCGUGUAUCUGAGAAUCUGGAGUCUUGCUCUGAUGUUGAUCCUUUUGAGUUCUGAUGGAUUCUUCAGAUAGCGCUGAGAGUUUCUGGAGUUAACAUACCGUUGUUCAGAGUCAGAACUUCUGAGCUUACUUCUUGUUUAGAAUGCUUCUGAUACUUUGCUGUUUUGCUCAGAGUUAGACUUUCUGGAACGUGUUUAACUUCAGAUGCUUCUGAUCAUUUGAUAAUUGUAAUCUGAUCUGGUUCUGUAUCUGAUGACGUCAUCAGAUCUUCCUUCUUUUCUUAGACCCUGCACACUAAGAAACUUUUCGUUAGGUGCCAUUUUUGGUUUCAUCCUUUGUUAUAUCAUCAAACAAGGAAUCUGUGUAGAACAAUUUUUGUUCUUACAAUCUCCCCUUUUUGAUGAUGACAAAAUAUCUUAAUUAGCAAUGAAACAUAUAAAAUAUCAGAUCAGAUAGACAAGAGCUCCCCCUGAGAUAGCUAUGCGAGUCAGCAGUUCUAACCAGAGCUUCUAAGUAAAAGGUUUCUUGAUAACCUUCUGCAAUUUCUUAAGUCAGUAGUAAUAAAUUUAUUUUUAAGAAAAUAUUGUGGCAGAAUACUUAAGGUAUUAGAACAAUAUUUUCAUCAGAGCUAUAAUCAGAAGCUAUUAAUGACUUCUCCCUCUUUUGUCAGAAUCAAAAAGACAUAGCAAAAUAAAUAAUUGAAGAGAAAAACAUUGUAUUUAGAUAAAAAAUCAACAGAGGCAAAAAGGAACAAGUAAACAUCAGAAGGUAAAAAAAACAAAGCAACAAAAUCCUAAGUGCUAAGGGUUGGGAGGUGGAGGCAUCUCUGAAGCAAACAUACGCAGCAUGUUCUGAAUGUUGUCGUUGAUAGUGUCUUGUUUGUCCAUCUGGCACGGAGUCUCUGAUCUUGCUUAAGUUUUUCUAGCGUCUGGAGACCAUAGGAUAACAGAAAGAAGAAGACUCCCCCUGGUCAGAGCCUGUGUGCUUCAGCAGGCAGCCAGCCUUCAGCUCAGCAGCAGCGUGCUUCAGCUCCUUUAAUCCUUAGAACUUCAGCUCCUUGCUCUUUCUUCCAGCUUCUAACUCUCUUCAGCUUCUCUUGCUAAUCUCCUCCUUCCAGCCUCUCGGCUUCAGCUUCUCGUUGCAAGUCUUUCCUGAAGUCUUGCCUCAGCAUCUCUGAUGUAGCCAUUCCUGACUUGUUCAGAGAUGUUCUUCUCAGUCUAAAGACCUCAGAGGUCAUCCAGCCAAGACUCUGUCCAGUGUGUCCUAAAGUUCAGGAUCAUCACUGACUUCAGAGUUAGUGGUCAGAGACUUGACCUUUUGUACUGAAGCCCUGCGACCAGCAUGAUGGCUUCCUCAAGGUAGGUAUGAGAAAGGUCAGGUUCAGAGGUUUGAGGUGAAGAAAUUGGAGGCUGAGAUUUAAUGGAGAGGUUCAGAUCCUGCUUCAGGUUAGGUCAGAUUUUGGGGUGAAGCGUAAAGAGGGUUUAAGUCUAAUGGUUCAGUUUCAGCUUCAGGUUCAGGUUCAGCAGAGGUGUUUGGAGGGUGAUAUCAGAGGUGUGGAGGUCAGAGGGUUGAGUUCAGAGGGUGAGAAGUAUGUGUUGUUUGUUCUGGUGAGGUGAAGUUGCUUCAGAUUGUGUUUGUGUUGUUUGUGUGAAGCAAGGUUUGAGCCUGAAUUGGGCUAAGGUUGGGGAGUCAGGUGUCGCACCUCAAAAAGAAUGAUAAUGCGACCCUCACAUGUGAGACCGGAAAAUGUUAUUCGAACGAAGUCGCCACCGGAACUUUAUUUAUCCCAAUGAAGGGAUAGGAAAUAUCGAGAAAACCUCUAUAGAUAAGAAUUAAUGGUCCGCAACCAUAUUCGGGUUCGGGAGUCGAUUACGCAAGGGAAGGUAUUAGCACCCCCACGUCGUUGUAUCUCACGAAGACCUCUUAGUCUGAUUGCUAUUUGACUGUUAAUUGAUCUUAUCUUGUUGCUUCGAGUAAUUAGAAUUGAUGAUAAAUAUGGAUGAAGACCUCAGGAGGGGGAAAUGGAGAGGUAUUUUUAUGUGUGUCUCGCGGAAGAUAACAGCAGAUCAUCCUGCCUACGUAUCCUUAUAGUGCAAUAAGGAAAUCAGAGCAUUCGUAGUUCGGGCUACUACGAAUAUUUGGUGGGUUUUGUUUUGAUGAACGACUGUGUAGGUCGGCGUUCUAAAGGUUAAACGCUGGCUUGUCUACUCUCGGGGGAGGCUUAAGCACUGGUUUGUUGUGCGCAUUAGAAAGGAUUAACAGUGUUCUUUUUGAAAGGGUUUUGGUCACGCGGGGGUGACAAGUUGAUUUGAUGUGUUUGGGUGUUUUGGUUUGGUUUCGAUCGCUCGGGGGCGAGAAAUUAGUUUUAAUGCGUUUGAGAUGUUUUGAAGAACGACGAAAGAUUGAGCAAUGUGGUGUACACCAAUCGUCCAAUUUUUUCGAGGAAUAAUAAGGCGUACGCCUUCUAUUCCCUUUUUCGUUUGAAUUAUUUUGAAAGUUUGUUUGUGGAUGUUGAAUACGCACGGUAGUGAGGCGUACGCCUCCUACUUGCUUAUUGAAGGAAUAACGAGGCGUACGCCACCUAUUCCUUUAUCCAAGUUUAUUUAGCGUGUUUUAGUCGGAAGUCGAUAAUUUGUGCAAUAUGGCGUACGCCAAUUAUUCAAAUAAUCGAGAGAUAGCGAGGCGAACGCCUCUCAUCUUCUGUCACCCGAGGUUUAAAUUGUAAAAGAUAUAUUUGGAUGUUGCAUUUGAUUUUCGAAGAUAGCUUGAAUUUAUUCGAUUGUGUUUUAAUUUGAUGACGAAGAUUCGAGCAACGUGGCGUACGCCAAUUAUUCGAAUAAUCGAGAGAUAAUGAAGCGGAUGCUCACUAUUCUCCUUUUCAUUCAAAGAUUAAUUAUUAAAAUAAAGCUUUUAGAAUUUAUGAUUAAUUAGGGGAGUGAUUUUAAUUUUAUGGAGUUUUAGAGUUUUAAAUGAAUGACGACAAUCCGAGCAAUAUGGCGUACGCCAAUUAUUCGAAUAGUCGAGAGAUAGUAAAGCGGAAGCUUACUAUUCUCCUUUUCAUCUCAAUGUUUAUGUUUAAAAGAGAAAAUUCUUUUGAAAUUGAAUGGUUUGGAAAAAUGAUUUGAAGUGGUGUGAUUUAAGAUUUAAUCGGGUGACAAGAACUCGCGCAAUAUGGCGUACGCCAAUUAUUCAAGUGCUUGAGAAAUAGUAAAGCGUACGCUCCCUAUCUCCUUUUCAUCCCAGGUUUAUGUUUAAGAGAAAAUUCUUUUGAAAUUGAAUGGUUUGGAAAAAUGAUUUGAAGUGGUGUGAUUUANNNNNNNNNNNNNNNNNNNNNNNNNUGAAUGGUUUGAAUAAUUUGAAUUUGGAAAUUAGAUUUGAUUUUGAAAAGUGAUUUGAAAUGGUGUGAUUUAAGAUUUUAAUUAGAUGACAAGAACUCGCGCAAUAUGGCGUACGCCAAUUAUUCGAGUAAUUGAGAAAUAGUAAGGCGUACACCUUCUAUCUCCUUUUCAUCCCAAAUUUAUAUUUGAAAGAGAAAAAAACUUUAGAAAUUGAGUUGAUUGGAAAAUGAUUUGAAUUUGUGUUGAUUGAAUAAAUGAAUUUUAUUUUGUGUAUUAUUUCAUCUACUCGAUUAAUCAAUAACCAAGUAGGUUUCAUUGUAAGAAAGCCCAAGAGUAAGCUAUGUGAGGUUGAUGGCGAUGCGAAGAGCAACCGACUUACAAGGGUGUUUUAAAAAUGGGCUCGAUAUUUGGAUCGAGAAUUGUGAUUUGUGCUAUUUUUUGAAAUUGGUUUGUGUUGGAUGAUGAAUUGAAGUUGAAAUAAAAUUGAAAAUGAUUGCAUGAAAUGGUUUUUGUUUUAUGAAAUUUGAAAUGAUUGCAUGAAAUGGUUUUUGCUUUUGGUGAAUCAAAAUUGACUUUAUAGAAUUAACCAAAUUUAGAUAGGAAAUACUUGAACCAAUACUUUUUAUGAGAGUGAAAAAAAUAACUUGAUUUGAUUCGAAAAUUGUUUUAGGUUGAAAUUGAUGAUGUAAAUCAAAAAUGGUUAUUUGCUUGUAUGGUUGUAUGGAAUGAACAAAGGAUAGAUAUUGAUCUUCUGAGUGCCACAAAAUCAAGUAAUAAGAAAUAUUUCUACUGACAAUUUAAUUUAUCCAUCUAAUUAGCUCCUAAUUCAUCAAUUAAGUAAUACCAAUAACUGAAAAACCAAUAAAUUGCAUACAGUGGUAAAGCAAAUCGUCCAGAUUAAAUUGAUCUUAAAUCCGAAACCUCUUUCUUCUAACUUUAAACAAUCCUCAGCAACAAAAAAAGCCCAACCCCAAAUCAUUUGGUGAACUAUAAAGAAAAAAAACCCUCAAACAAGCCAACAUCUCAAAAUGAACCUAAUAAAAGAGUAAAGAGGCCCCUCAACAUAAAACGAACAACAGGAACUAAGCAAAAACCAACCACUAUAUGCACGAAACCAUUCAAAACAAGCACCCACAUAACAAAGAAACAAAAGUCACUGAAACGACGACUACCACAAGGACGUACCGGAUAGCAACAAAUCUACAUGAAUCAAGCACCAAAACGGAAACCCCCAGCAACAUCAACAAUACGAAAGAAUAGUGGAAUACAAACUAAGCACAGUGGAAAAAAUAGAAAGAAAACAAAAGACCAACCAAAAUCAAAAAGAGCAAAAUGAUGAUGCUGUUGGAUUUAUUGCUGAGACGAUGUCUUGCUUAUUUCCGUUGAGGACUUCGACGAAUGGCUUGGUAACAUUAUUUGGUCGCGAGCUACCCGAAUCCGAGCCAGAACCGCACCCAAAUGACCAAAGGCUACCUUCUAGAACCCAUUUUUCACGAGCAAACGACAAGUGAGUGACUAUGAAGGAAGUCGUGCGAGUUGGUGGUGGUCGGCGAUUUGAAGAGGGUUUCGCGGUGGGUUUGCUUAGGGUUUCGUGGACUUGGGGGUAUCGCCGAUGGUAGCGGCGCGAUGGAGAGCGAAACAGGGUAGCGGUUUGUGGUGUGGGUCUUGAUGUGGUUGAGCGGCGAGGAAGAGUUUCGGAUGGCGAGGAAGGUGGUUUCGCCGGUGGGAGCGUUGGAUGUUGAAUGGUUCGUCGGAGAGGGUUUGUUGAGAGUGUGACAGGGUUUUCACCGGUGACGGCGAGGUGAAGGUGGAAGUGAUGAACAGUGGUUGAAAUGGAAGCACGGCGGGUGGAUAUUUGGGAUUAUGGUGAGCGAGAGGCGGAGGAGGGUUAGGCGAAGGGAUUUAGGGUGGAGAGAGGAGUGAAUGGUGGUAGAUGAUGGUUUUUGGUUGGAGAAGGUGAAGGGCGAUGGUUGAGAGGCGGUGGAGGCGUGGAUGAUGAUUGAGGGGUCGACGAUAAGGAAGAAGAGGUUUAAGGGUUGUUGGUGUUUGUGCGGUUUGGAUGCGGAAGGUGGGAUUUGUGAGAGCGCGUGAGUGUGUUUGUUGAGGGG
rnacentral:lncRNA from 1 species